UACGUAGGCAGCAAGCGUUGUUCGGAGUUACUGGGCGUAAAGGGUGCGUAGGCGGCUUUUUAAGUUUGGUGUGAAAUCUCCCGGCUUAACUGGGAGGGUGCGCUAUAGACUGCGGGGCUCGAGUGUGGGAGAGGAAAGUGGAAUUCCUGGUGUAGCGGUGAAAUGCGUAGAUAUCAGGAGGAACACCGGUGGUGUAAACGGCUUUCUGGACCGAUAACUGACGCUGAGGCACGAAAGCGUGGGUAGCAAACAGG
rnacentral:rRNA from 1 species